AACGAACGCUGGCGGCAGGCCUAACACAUGCAAGUCGAGCGCCCCGCAAGGGGAGCGGCGGACGGGUGAGUAACGCGUGGGAAUAUGCCCUUUGCUACGGAAUAGUCUCGGGAAACUGGGGGUAAUACCGUAUACGCCCUUUGGGGGAAAGAUUUAUCGGCGAAGGAUUAGCCCGCGUUGGAUUAGGUAGUUGGUGGGGUAAUGGCCUACCAAGCCGACAAUCCAUAGCUGGUUUGAGAGGAUGAUCAGCCACACUGGGACUGAGACACGGCCCAGACUCCUACGGGAGGCAGCAGUGGGGAAUCUUAGACAAUGGGGGCAACCCUGAUCUAGCCAUGCCGCGUGAGUGAUGAAGGCCUUAGGGUUGUAAAGCUCUUUCAGCUGGGAGGAUAAUGACGGUACCAGCAGAAGAAGCCCCGGCUAACUCCGUG
rnacentral:rRNA from 1 species